rfam:Homo sapiens chromosome 15, GRCh38 reference primary assembly.
GCCAGGCAUGGUGGUGCAUGCCUGUAGUCCCAGCCACUCCGGAGGCUGAGGUGGGAGGAUGGCUUGAGCCUGGGAGGUCAAGGCUGCAGUAAAUCAUGAUCUUUACUGGGGUGCCACUGCACCCCAGCCUAGGUGACAGAGCAAGACCCUGCCUCAU